rnacentral:rRNA from 1 species
AUGGCGUUCGCCGACGAGUACAAGGACGUGGAGGCACACGGCAACACCAAGUUGCACGUCAUCCACACCAAUGACGAGAAGCAGGUGGCGAUCACCCUCGCGCAGUACGAGCGCCACCUCAGCCUCCAGUGCCACAAUUUCGUCGACAUUGAUCUCGAGUACAACAACGAGCCUAAAGCGACGUGCGCCGUCUUCGACAACUUCCUCGCCGACCCCAGGUACACCUUUGCAGGCUUCUCCAUCGACGGCGACAAAAAAAGGCUGGAUCGCGUCAAUCUAGAGGUCGCCAACUUCGUCGACAUCCAGAAGGAGUGGAGGGUGCCCGAGGCAACCAAGGAGUUGGACUCCCUUGGAGACGUCUCCGGCAUGCUCAUCGACGACUACUACAACAACAUGAAGAAGAAGAUCACCGACGACGAGCACAAGCGCUGGGCCACCCUGCCUCUGUCCAGGAGGCACAUCGAGUACGCUGCAAAGGACGCCUACACAGUGUACGAGAUAUGGAACCGCAUCACCCUCACUUAG